AUCCUGUAAUUUUACCACAUUGAUUGGUCAAGGGGCAUUUGGUCCAGUUUAUAAAGCUCAGAUGUUACGCGUAAGAUAGUUGUUGUUAAAGUGCUUGCAACUGAUUCUAAGCAAGGAUCAAAAGAAUUCCAAACAGAGCUAGCAGAAGCAGUAAAAGCACAAUUUUCACGUGAUUACAGUGAUCACCUUGCUCUUGUCUGGGCUUAUGAGGACUGGAAAGAAGCUGAAAGAGAUGUAGCUAGAUAUGAAUACUGUUGGAAGAAUUUUAUUUCUGCUCAAUCAAUGAAAACUAUUGAUGCUCUGCGAAAGGAGUUCUACUCUUCACUUAAGGAAUAUGUUUUAAAUUUUAAUGCUAGAUGGAUGUGAAUUGGAUGAUUAUAUAGAUUACAAGAGGAUUUUUAAUUGAAGGAAUAUGUAGUUUGGAAUUA